rnacentral:rRNA from 1 species
CGUUUAUUUGAUAGUACCUCACUACAUGGAUAACCGUGGUAAUUCUAGAGCUAAUACAUGCUAAAAACCCCGACUCACGAAGGGGUGUAUUUAUUAGAUAAAAAACCAAUGCCCUUCGGGGCUCCUUGGUGAAUCAUGAUAACUUAACGAAUCGCAUGGCCUUGCGCCGGCGAUGGUUCAUUCAAAUUUCUGCCCUAUCAACUUUCGAUGGUAGGAUAGUGGCCUACCAUGGUCUCAACGGGUAACGGGGAAUUAGGGUUCGACUCCGGAGAGGGAGCCUGAGAAACGGCUACCACAUCCAAGGAAGGCAGCAGGCGCGCAAAUUACCCCAAUCCCGACACGGGGAGGUAGUGACAAUAAAUACUGAUACAGGGCUCUUUUGGGUCUUGUAAUUGGAAUGAGUACAAUUUAAAUCCCUUAACGAGGAACAAUUGGAGGGCAAGUCUGGUGCCAGCAGCCGCGGUAAUUCCAGCUCCAAUAGCGUAUAUUAAAGUUGUUGCAGUUAAAAAGCUCGUAGUUGAACCUUGGGCCUGGCUGGCCGGUCCGCCUCACCGCGUGUACUGGUCCGGCCGGGCCUUUCCUUCUGGGGAGCCGCAUGCCCUUCACUGGGCGUGUCGGGGAACCAGGACUUUUACUUUGAAAAAAUUAGAGUGUUCAAAGCAGGCCUUUGCUCGAAUACAUUAGCAUGGAAUAAUAGAAUAGGACGUGUGGUUCUAUUUUGUUGGUUUCUAGGACCGCCGUAAUGAUUAAUAGGGAUAGUCGGGGCCGUCCGUAUUCAAUUGUCAGAGGUGAAAUUCUUGGAUUUAUUGAAGACGAACUACUGCGAAAGCAUUCGGCAAGGAUGUUUUCAUUAAUCAGUGAACGAAAGUUAGGGGAUCGAAGACGAUCAGAUACCGUCGUAGUCUUAACCAUAAACUAUGCCGACUAGGGAUCGGUGGGUGUUAUUAUUUUGACCUCAUCGGCACCUUACGAGAAAUCAAAGUUUUUGGGUUCUGGGGGGAGUAUGGUCGCAAGGCUGAAACUUAAAGAAAUUGACGGAAGGGCACCACCAGGCGUGGAGCCUGCGGCUUAAUUUGACUCAACACGGGGAAACUCACCAGGUCCAGACACAAGUAGGAUUGACAGAUUGAGAGC